rnacentral:rRNA from 1 species
UACGUAGGGUGCGAGCGUUGUCCGGAAUUAUUGGGCGUAAAGGGCUCGUAGGCGGUUUGUCGCGUCGGGAGUGAAAACACUGGGCUUAACUCAGUGCCUGCUUUCGAUACGGGCAGACUAGAGGCAUGCAGGGGAGAACGGAAUUCCUGGUGUAGCGGUGAAAUGCGCAGAUAUCAGGAGGAACACCGGUGGCGAAGGCGGUUCUCUGGGCAUGUCCUGACGCUGAGGAGCGAAAGCGUGGGGAGCGAACAGG